rnacentral:rRNA from 1 species
GACAGAGGGUGCAAACGUUGUUCGGAGUUACUGGGCGUAAAGCGUGUGUAGGCUGCUCCGAUAGUCGGAUGUGAAAGCCCUGGGCUCAACCUAGGAAGUGCAUUCGAUACUCCGGAGCUUGAGUCCUGGAGAGGAAGGCGGAAUUCUCGGUGUAGAGGUGAAAUUCGUAGAUAUCGAGAGGAACACCGGUGGCGAAGGCGGCCUUCUGGACAGUGACUGACGCUGAGACACGAAAGCGUGGGGAGCAAACAGG